rnacentral:rRNA from 1 species
AACGAACGCUGGCGGCAUGCCUAACACAUGCAAGUCGAACGAGACCUUCGGGUCUAGUGGCGCACGGGGGCGUAACGCGUGGGAACCUGCCCUUAGGUUCGGAAUAACUCCCCGACAGGGGUGCUAAUACCGGAUAAUGUCUUCGGACCAAAGAUUUAUCGCCUUUGGAUGGGCCCGCGUUGGAUUAGCUAGUUGGUAGGGUAAAAGCCUACCAAGGCGACGAUCCAUAGCUGGUCUGAGAGGCUGAUCAGCCACACUGGGACUGAGACACGGCCCAGACUCCUACGGGAGGCAGCAGUGGGGAAUAUUGGACAAUGGGCGAAAGCCUGAUCCAGCAAUGCCGCGUGAGUGAUGAAGGCCUUAGGGUUGUAAAGCUCUUUUACCCGGGAUGAUAAUGACAGUACCGGGAGAAUAAGCCCCGGCUAACUCCGUG